UUAAGCGACUAAGCGUACACGGUGGAUGCCCUGGCAGUCAGAGGCGAUGAAGGACGUGCUAAUCUGCGAUAAGCGUCGGUAAGGUGAUAUGAACCGUUAUAACCGGCGAUUUCCGAAUGGGGAAACCCAGUGUGAUUCGUCACACUAUCAUUAACUGAAUCCAUAGGUUAAUGAGGCGAACCGGGGGAACUGAAACAUCUAAGUACCCCGAGGAAAAGAAAUCAACCGAGAUUCCCCCAGUAGCGGCGAGCGAACGGGGAGCAGCCCAGAGCCUGAAUCAGUGUGUGUGUUAGUGGAAGCGUCUGGAAAGGCGCGCGAUACAGGGUGACAGCCCCGUACACAAAAAUGCACAUAUUGUGAGCUCGAUGAGUAGGGCGGGACACGUGGUAUCCUGUCUGAAUAUGGGGGGACCAUCCUCCAAGGCUAAAUACUCCUGACUGACCGAUAGUGAACCAGUACCGUGAGGGAAAGGCGAAAAGAACCCCGGCGAGGGGAGUGAAAAAGAACCUGAAACCGUGUACGUACAAGCAGUGGGAGCACGCUUAGGCGUGUGACUGCGUACCUUUUGUAUAAUGGGUCAGCGACUUAUAUUCUGUAGCAAGGUUAACCGAAUAGGGGAGCCGAAGGGAAACCGAGUCUUAACUGGGCGUUAAGUUGCAGGGUAUAGACCCGAAACCCGGUGAUCUAGCCAUGGGCAGGUUGAAGGUUGGGUAACACUAACUGGAGGACCGAACCGACUAAUGUUGAAAAAUUAGCGGAUGACUUGUGGCUGGGGGUGAAAGGCCAAUCAAACCGGGAGAUAGCUGGUUCUCCCCGAAAGCUAUUUAGGUAGCGCCUCGUGAACUCAUCUCCGGGGGUAGAGCACUGUUUCGGCAAGGGGGUCAUCCCGACUUACCAACCCGAUGCAAACUGCGAAUACCGGAGAAUGUUAUCACGGGAGACACACGGCGGGUGCUAACGUCCGUCGUGAAGAGGGAAACAACCCAGACCGCCAGCUAAGGUCCCAAAGUCAUGGUUAAGUGGGAAACGAUGUGGGAAGGCCCAGACAGCCAGGAUGUUGGCUUAGAAGCAGCCAUCAUUUAAAGAAAGCGUAAUAGCUCACUGGUCGAGUCGGCCUGCGCGGAAGAUGUAACGGGGCUAAACCAUGCACCGAAGCUGCGGCAGCGACGCUUAUGCGUUGUUGGGUAGGGGAGCGUUCUGUAAGCCUGUGAAGGUGUGCUGUGAGGCAUGCUGGAGGUAUCAGAAGUGCGAAUGCUGACAUAAGUAACGAUAAAGCGGGUGAAAAGCCCGCUCGCCGGAAGACCAAGGGUUCCUGUCCAACGUUAAUCGGGGCAGGGUGAGUCGACCCCUAAGGCGAGGCCGAAAGGCGUAGUCGAUGGGAAACAGGUUAAUAUUCCUGUACUUGGUGUUACUGCGAAGGGGGGACGGAGAAGGCUAUGUUGGCCGGGCGACGGUUGCCCCGGUUUAAGCGUGUAGGCUGGUUUUCCAGGCAAAUCCGGAAAAUCAAGGCUGAGGCGUGAUGACGAGGCACUACGGUGCUGAAGCAACAAAUGCCCUGCUUCCAGGAAAAGCCUCUAAGCAUCAGGUAACAUCAAAUCGUACCCCAAACCGACACAGGUGGUCAGGUAGAGAAUACCAAGGCGCUUGAGAGAACUCGGGUGAAGGAACUAGGCAAAAUGGUGCCGUAACUUCGGGAGAAGGCACGCUGAUAUGUAGGUGAAGUCCCUUGCGGAUGGAGCUGAAAUCAGUCGAAGAUACCAGCUGGCUGCAACUGUUUAUUAAAAACACAGCACUGUGCAAACACGAAAGUGGACGUAUACGGUGUGACGCCUGCCCGGUGCCGGAAGGUUAAUUGAUGGGGUCAGCGCAAGCGAAGCUCUUGAUCGAAGCCCCGGUAAACGGCGGCCGUAACUAUAACGGUCCUAAGGUAGCGAAAUUCCUUGUCGGGUAAGUUCCGACCUGCACGAAUGGCGUAAUGAUGGCCAGGCUGUCUCCACCCGAGACUCAGUGAAAUUGAACUCGCUGUGAAGAUGCAGUGUACCCGCGGCAAGACGGAAAGACCCCGUGAACCUUUACUAUAGCUUGACACUGAACAUUGAGCCUUGAUGUGUAGGAUAGGUGGGAGGCUUUGAAGUGUGGACGCCAGUCUGCAUGGAGCCGACCUUGAAAUACCACCCUUUAAUGUUUGAUGUUCUAACGUUGACCCGUAAUCCGGGUUGCGGACAGUGUCUGGUGGGUAGUUUGACUGGGGCGGUCUCCUCCUAAAGAGUAACGGAGGAGCACGAAGGUUGGCUAAUCCUGGUCGGACAUCAGGAGGUUAGUGCAAUGGCAUAAGCCAGCUUGACUGCGAGCGUGACGGCGCGAGCAGGUGCGAAAGCAGGUCAUAGUGAUCCGGUGGUUCUGAAUGGAAGGGCCAUCGCUCAACGGAUAAAAGGUACUCCGGGGAUAACAGGCUGAUACCGCCCAAGAGUUCAUAUCGACGGCGGUGUUUGGCACCUCGAUGUCGGCUCAUCACAUCCUGGGGCUGAAGUAGGUCCCAAGGGUAUGGCUGUUCGCCAUUUAAAGUGGUACGCGAGCUGGGUUUAGAACGUCGUGAGACAGUUCGGUCCCUAUCUGCCGUGGGCGCUGGAGAACUGAGGGGGGCUGCUCCUAGUACGAGAGGACCGGAGUGGACGCAUCACUGGUGUUCGGGUUGUCAUGCCAAUGGCACUGCCCGGUAGCUAAAUGCGGAAGAGAUAAGUGCUGAAAGCAUCUAAGCACGAAACUUGCCCCGAGAUGAGUUCUCCCUGACUCCUUGAGAGUCCUGAAGGAACGUUGAAGACGACGACGUUGAUAGGCCGGGUGUGUAAGCGCAGCGAUGCGUUGAGCUAACCGGUACUAAUGAACCGUGAGGCUUAACCUU
rnacentral:rRNA from 1 species